rnacentral:tRNA from 1 species
GGGGAUUUAGCUCAAUGGCAUAGUGCCUACCUAGCAAGUACGAGGUCCUGAGCUCAAUCCCCA